rnacentral:rRNA from 1 species
AUUGAACGCUGGCGGCAGGCCUAACACAUGCAAGUCGAGCGGAGCGGCGGACGGGUGAGUAAUGCCUAGGUAUCUGCCUGGUAGUGGGGGAUAACGUCCGGAAACGGGCGCUAAUACCGCAUACUAUCAGAUGAGCCUAGGUCGGAGUAGCUAGUUGGUGGGUUAAAUGCCUACCAAGGCGACGAUCCGUAACUGGUCGGAGAGGAUGAUCAGUCAAACUGGAACUGAGACACGGCCCAGACUCCUACGGGAGGCAGAAGUGGGGAAUAUUGGACAAUGGGCGCAAGCCUGAUGCAGCCAUGCCGCGUGUGUGAAGAAGGUCUUCGGAUUGUAAAGCACUUUAAGUUGGGAGGCGUUACCAACAGAAUAAGCACCGGCUAACUUCGUGCCAGCAGCCGCGGUAAUAC